rnacentral:misc_RNA from 1 species
AAAGUCGUAACAAGGUUUCCGUAGGUGAACCUGCGGAAGGAUCAUUAUCGUGCCAAAGGCCGACAUGUCCCUCGGGGCAGUUGGCUUUUGUUACCCUUAUUCUCUGUCUUUGUGCACCAUGUUUGUUUCCUUGGCAGGCUUGCCUGCCAUUGAAAACCCCUCAAACCCUUUGCAGUUGCAAUCAACGUCUGAUAAAUCAAUAGUUACAACUUUUAACAAUGGAUCUCUUGGUUCUG